CGCGCACAGUUUCCUGUUUCUCCUGCCGUGCAGCUGCAAGAGGGGUGACGAAGAAAUGUGUCUCAGCUGUUCUCUUCUAUGGUUCACAGCUCCUAGACACGGAACGCAAGUUUCUUUACAACUGGGUUUAGGGUCAGCAAGAAGAGCGGUGAAUACUGCAAACGUGCUGUUAAGUCAGGGAUUCGGGUCAAACUAGGAUCUGUUCCUGACUUAAAGUGAAACGGCAGCUUUAAGUUUCCCGUCUGAAAGGGACUCUGGACGUUUUGGUUCGCGAAUUUAAAAGCUAUUUAUGGAGUUCCUGGUGCAACAGAAUUCCCAACUCUGGUCUCGUCCAUCACCUCAUUGAAGACGGUUGGUCAGCCAGAGUAAAUGGAGAGAGAUUUGGAGCCUCUAAUAAAUCCUGAGUGAAAUACAUGGGGAAUUCCUGACUCCGCAGAAUUCUCAACUCCUGUCUCAUUCAUCACUUCAUUGAAGACGUUGGUCAACCAGAGAAACAAAGGGCAGCGAGAUCUGGAGUCUUCAAUAAAUCCUGCAACCAGAUUGUGGAUUGUCUGCAAGUGUCAGCCGUUACCUGGUGGCCAUGGCAGUGGCGGAUCUACUGGUCAUUAACCUUGACCUAAUAUUGAGACACAUUCCGAUUCUUUAUCAGGGAUCAUUUAAUUUCCGCUAUUCCAUCCCCGUGAGUAAUAUCCAUGCCGUCCUGCUUUACGCAGCCACAGACUGUUCUGUCUGGUUCACCAUCACUUUCACCUUUGAUCGGCUUGUGGCCAUUUGUUGCCACAAGCUAAAAUGUAAAUAUUGCAGUAAGAAAACGGCGGCUGUAGUUCUGGGAACAGUGACUGUGCUGAGCUGUUUAAAGAAUAUUUUCUGGUAUUAUAUGCACACGGGUCGGUAUUUAAUGGGGAACGUUCCCUGGUUUUGUGACGUAACAGACAAUGUUUAUGAGUCUCGGGUCUGGGUCACAAUUCAGUUCCUCCACCACAUUCUAAACCUGGCUCUCCCAUUUCUCCUGAUUCCGCUGCUCAAUGUUUUCACUGUCAGACACAUUUUAGUGACCAGCAGAGCCCGUGAAAGACUCCAGGCUCACACCAAUAGGGACAUUCAGUGCGACACAGAAAUGGAAAAUUGAAAAAAAUCCAUCAUUUUACUGUUUGUGGUCUCAGCCAAUUUCAUCCUAUUAUGGUCAAUGUUAAUGGUGUUUUCUAUUUGGAGAUGGAUGUGGUAUUUGGGCUAUAAGCGUAUCUAUCUGCCUUGGGUUGUGAUGGAACUGGGCUUCAUGCUGCAGCUCCUCAGUUGCUGCACAAACACCAUGGUUUACGCUGUGACCCAGACUAAGUUCAGAUAACAGCUGAAGAAUGUGCUGACAUAUCCCUUUACCCAAAUCAAUCAAUCAAUCAAAUUCACUAAUUAAUCAAUCCAUCCAGGAUGUUCUCAUUUCAAUUCUGUUUUCAGGAAUGAAACAGACUGUCAGUAUGGUAACAGACUGGGGGUAGUGCUGACUUGUUCAACCUUAUCUCACAGGUUAUGGGGCACUUUUGAAUGUUUCUUUCAACUCAGCGGCUCGUGAGAAAAUGCAUCAUUCCACUUUCUGCGUCAAU